ensembl:lncRNA
CGGAGUGACAAGCUGGGAAUCACCGCGCCGCAGUGACCAACAAGGGAAGUCUGACACCUUGAGGACGCGAGAGGGGGUGCCGGGACCCCCGGGAGCCGGAGAGGGAGAAGCUUUUUCGGUGCCAGCUGCGUGGGCUCCAGCUUCGUGCGUUUUCCUUGGAAUGCUCGGAAACUCGGCGAAGACUAAGGAGAUCCCGUCGGAAUUUGCCGGGCGUGCUGGCACCGGGCAAAGCACUCGCGCCGCCGGCCUCGACUCCAACCCCCUUCAGCCAGAAGAUCGCAACUUUGCAGAUGGAUAGAGGUCUGUCUCCUACACUAGGCAGUAAGCUCCUUUAAGAAACCCAGAGGAUACUCAAAAACAUAAAUGUUGCCAGUUAGAAAUUCAAGGAAACUAAAGAUGAUCACCAUCCAAUGAAUAUCCGAGUAUCAGCCACUUUUGUACAUUGAACCACAUUUGCAGAGC